UUUUUGCUGUUGAGCUGUAUAAAUUGUUUGUAUAUUUUUAGAGAUUAAGCUCUUGUCAAUUGCAUCAUUUGAAACUAUUUUCUCCCAUUCCAAAGUUUUUUUUUUUUUUAUGGUUUCCUUUGCUGUGCAAAAGAUGUGAUAUCUUAAAUGAUGCCUUGGUUUCUUUCUUUCUUUCUUUUUUUUAGGCCUCACCCACAGCAUAUGGAAGUUCCCAGGAUAGGGGUCGAAUUGGAUCUGAGCCAUGUCUGUGACCCACACCACAGCUCACGGCAACACUGGAUCCUUAACCCACUGAGCAUGGCCAGGAAUCAAACCCACAUCCUCACAGAUACUAGUCAGGUUUGUUACUGCUGAGCUACAAUGGGAACUCUGACUCCGUGGUUUCUGUUAGGGAAUAUGGGGUGGCCUUUGGGGAAGGAGUGAACUUGAUGUUGCAUAUAUUGGAUUUUAACUGCCAGUGAAGAUGCCCAUGACUAGACAUAGAAAUUUGAUAUUCAGUGAAGAUCUGAGUCAGUCCAAGAAUCUAAUCACAUAAAUGGCAAUUGCAGGAGCCCCAGCUGAAAUGGAGAGAGAGGAAGGAAAGAAGGGAAGAAAGAAAAUAGGGAAAGGAGGAAGUGCUAUUGGCUUACAUAUCUGUAAAGUCAAGGGGUAACUACUACAGCUUCAAACACAAAUGGAUCCAAGGGCCCAUGUGAUGUUACUGGUCAGUUUCCUUUCCUACCAUCUCUUGACUCUGGUGUCUCGGGUGCUGGCUGCUUAUCAAGCAAGUUGACCCUUCGUAGAAACAAGAUGUCUGCCAUCAGUUUCAGGUUUAUGUUUUAUUUUCCCAACAACCUUAACAGAAAGAAGAUGUCUCUUUUCCAAUACCUCUGACAAAAGGAGUGAUCACAAGUGAUGGGACGAGCUUGGGCCAUGUGCCAUCUCUAACCUAACACUACAGCGAGAGGGAAGAGAAUCCCUAUUUGCCACCCCUUGUCACAUGCAACCUAAAAUGCAAUCGAAUGAGAAGUAAGAGGAGCUCCCUGGUGGCACAGUGGGUUAAGGAUCUGGUGUGGUCCAUGCUGUGGCUCAGGCCACUGCUGUGGUGCAAGUUCGAUCCCUGGCCUGGGAACUUCCACAUGCCACAGGUAUGGCCAAAAAGGAAAAAAAGUGAAGUAGGAGAAAUAAGUGAUUCCCCAAGGAAAAUAUUCCAGAAAGAGGAAAAGAUGCUGGGUAGAAAGAAUAGCAGAUGUCUCAGGGGAAACAGCCUAGGAGAAACACUCCUUAGGGGCUUCUCUUCCCUAGAAGGCCUCUUUGAAGGUUGAUCUAAGGGUGCUGAUGGUCCUUAUAGUUCAAGGAGUCAAAAAAGAUUUUUUGUAAGAAACGUUAAGUCGAGAGGAUAAAUGCUGACUGAGGACAUAUCUGCCACCUAUGAAAGCAUGUAGCUCCGAUCGCUCUGUUUCACCCUCCUCCUUCUACUCCAGUAGCCAACAAGUUGACUUUGAUACCCAGCGUUCCCCAGUCUCCAGUAUCACUUUGAUCUCUGCUGUUUUAUUUGGUAGAAUGGUUGAGAAGGAUAAAAAGGAAAUUAAGGGUUCCUGUUGUGGCUCAGUGGGUUCAGGACCCAACAUCGUCUUUAUGAGGAUGCAGGUUCAAUCCCUGACCUCGCUCAGUGGGUAAAGGACCCAACAUUGCUACAAGCUGCAGCGUAGUCUGCAGAUGUGGCUUGGAUCCUGCAUUGCUGUGGCUGUGGCACAGGCUGUGGAACUGCAGCUCUAAUUCAACCCCUAGCCUGAGAACUUCCAUAUGCCACGGGCACGGCCAAAAAAUAAGUAAAUAAUCUAAAAAUUAAAAUGUCAAUGUCAGAAAAUAACAAGCACUGGAAAAGAAAUGGGGGAGGGCACAACUGUCAGACGUUGUGGGUGGAAGUUAUAAACUGGCGCCGUGAAUCCAGAGAGCAAGAUCUACAAAACUUAAAAGCCUGGAACCCAACAGCUCUGUUUCUAACUAGAGUCCACAGAGAAACUUCUCUCACUCGUGUACAAGGAGGCAUACACAAGGGUAUUUCCUGUUGGUAACGUGAGGGAAAGUAAGGAACUGAAAGGUCUCUUAUCAGGGAAUGGAUAAAUAAAAGAUGGCCUGUUCGUUCUGCAGAACACUGUCUAUAGUUAAGAGGAAUAAUCUAGGUCAAUGUACAUCACCACGAAAGGAUCUCAGAUAUACAGACUUGACUGAAAAGGCAAAUUGGCAGAAUGAUACAUAAAGUACAAUAUCAUUGACCAAAGUGAUUUUUAGAAAUAUAGGUUCUGGGACUAGAGAAGAGUGAAGAGGGGAUUUCUUCGACACCAGAGCAAUUUUUGUUUUUCUCUCUCUCUCCUCCCUCUGCCUCCCUCUUCCUCCCUCUCUUCCUCCCUCCCUCUCUCUCUCUCUCCCCCCCACUCUCCUAGAAUUUCCCCUAAAUCUAAGUUCCAUGAGUGGGUUUUCAGAGAAAACUAUAAAUCCCUUGACAUUAUAAGUACAAUGUCCUGUUUCUGAGUAUUAUUCCUGGGGAAUGGGCCCAUAGCUUUUGUCAGGUGACCAGAGAGGUCAGUGUAUAUGCAAUUAAAAUUCAAAGGAAAAAAUUUUAUUCAAAGGAACAUGGAACUCUGAUACAGUUUCCUUGGUCCCUCGUACCCUGGGAGUAAGAGUUAUUUCUCAUCAGGAGAAAAAAAAGAAAAGAGAGAGAAAACGUGAAGUGAUUUGUUCUGAUCCUGUUUCCACUAGCCAAGUGCCCUGGGAGAAAAUGCCCUGCCUUUGGAAACACAAACACCUCCAUCCUCCCCAGCCUUCCAGACCUCCCAUCCAUCAUCUCAGCAGGCUCUGGGCAGCAGCAGCCGGCCUCCUUCAUGGCCACACGUGACCCUUUCCAUCAGACAUCAGGGUCCAGCUCUGGCCAGCUUGUUGACAAUUAUGAAGAGUCUUCUAACCCAGGCAAGCAGCCUCUGCACCACCUAGAGUGCUCCAAGGCUGGGAAAGCAUCAAGAGUCCAGGAAAGUGUCACCUGUUUGGCAGGGGAUGCCGAGGCAAUGGGCCCACACCCACCGAUCCAGGCACAGCUCCAGGGGCUCCCCAGGGCCUGGGCUCUGCUUGGGCUCCUCUGGAACCUGGGGUUGUGAGUCCCAUAGUUCUGUGCUCUAAACUCAUAGGCUGAGAUGAAGACAAAUACUACAUUCUCCUGCCAUCAGCUGAGGGUCAGUCGGGUGGCGCUGCUGAUCUUGCCUGGCCUGCUCCCAUGUUCAGGUGUCAGCUGGCUGUCAGCUGAUCUGGACCCGCCUUUGACAGGUGCCUGGGCUCGCUCUGCUCCCAGUGUUUCUCAUGCCCCAGCACUCUAGCCUGAGGUUCUCACGGCACACAGAAAGGCACAAGAGAGCAAGCACUGAGCCCAUGUCAAGCCUCUGCUCGCAUCACAUCUGCAAAUACCCCGUUGACCAAAGCAAGUCUCAUGGCCGUGCUUGUCACCCUGCCCGCAGUGAGCAGGCACUGCAAACCAGGUAGGAGCCUGCGUUUGGGGGUCAGGCUCUGCCUCUUACCAAGGACGUCUCUUAAAUUCUCUGAGCAAAUAAGACACUACUCUUCACCUAUUGGAUUAAUGGGGAAAAAAAUAUUUUUUUUUUUUUCGCUCUGGCAAUAAAUAGUCCAGAACGGAGGUGGAGUAAUAGGCACCUUAACACAUUAUUGGUGGGAUUUUUAUUCUUUUCAAAGGGUAAUUGAAUCCUAUUUAUUGCACUAGGUUGCAAAAUGGCCCCAAUUUCUUCUCAGCCCCGUGUGCAUGUCCCCUUUUCAGUGUAACUCUGCAGCCCCUCCCCCCCAUGAAUAUGGGUAAGUCAUGUGACUUGUUUAGGCCAAAGGGGUGAUAGCAAAGGUGACCCAUGCAAAGGUUUUAACAGUACUUGUCCCUGGGGAAUGGCCUCUCUUCCCUGUACUUAGAAACCUGAAACCACUCUGCAAAUGAGCCCAAGCCAGCCUGCUAUAGGAUGAGAGGCUGCAAAGAGGCAAGUUAAGGUGCCUCAGUGGAGCUGUUUCGACUGGUCAGAUGCAUGAGUGAUCCCAGCCAGGACCAGCCACGCCAGCUGAGCCCAGGCCAACCCACUGAAUCCCAAAAUCCCAGGAAGAGCUAAUAUAAGAUGCCAGUUCAUUUCAUCACCUCCUCAUAGGGGUAAGAUUUUUCAAAAGCAGAGCUAUGAUGUUGCUUCACUCAAUCAAGAUCCAUUAAGCCCCUACCCUUCCAUGCUAGGAUUGUUCUAGGCACUGAUGAUCUAACAGUGGGGAAGCGGAGGAGUGGGGGAUGAAAAAUGUCCCUGCUUCAUAAAGCUUGUGUUCUAGGAGUAAGUGGCGGAAAAUUUUUUAAAUUACUAGGUACCAUGCGUUGAACAAUAGUGAUAAGUGCUCUGGAGAAAAACAGUAACAAUGGAGAGCAUUGUUCCAGGCGCAGUUUCAGUGGGGAUGGGGAGUGUUGCAGUGGGUCUUGUAGACAAAACCUCUGUGAGAAGGAGGUAACGUGAAGACUUGAGUGAACGCGCCUCACUGAAAUCUAGGGGGAUGGAGCUCCUGUCGUGGCUCAGUGGGUUAAGAACCCAACUAGCAUCCAUGAGGACGCAGGCUUGAUCCCUGGCCUUGCUCAGUGGGUUAAGGAUCCAGCGUGGCCAUGAGCUGUGUUUGCACGUCGCAGACGCAGCUUCGAUCUGACUUUGCUAUGGCUGUGGUGUAGGCUGGCAGCUACAGCUCCGAUUCAACCCCUAGCCUGGGCACUUCCAUAUGCCAUGGGUGAAGCCCUAAAAAGACGAAAGAGAGAGAUGAAACAGGGGACAGGCUGUGUAGGAGCUUGUGGGUCACUACUAGGAGUUUCUGGUAAACUCCUGCACUGUUGCAAUUUCUUUUUUUAACCAAACGUAUGUGUUCCUUUCAAAACAAUAAUUUUGAAGAAAUAGAGCCAAAACAAAUAACAAUCCUGAGCUGCUCUCCCAGAUCCUAAUAUGAGUGGACUCUACGUGCAGUUUAUCAUAAUCCCCCGCCACUGCAUUCUUAGAGCAUUCCAGAGCCUGCUGGAGGAGACAGUCAUUGUUGGGCACAGGCUGCCCCCUGCUGGUCACAUUUGGAUGAGCACCCACAAGUGUCACCUGAAGAAGCAAAGUUGUCCCAGGAGAAGCCAGGUAUAACCAGUUAUCAGAAUGCCCUAUCUUCCUUGCCAGCAAGCUUGAAUUCCUCAGAGGCCCCUGAAGGACAGUAUGUGGGGGAAGACAUCUCCCAAAGCUUCACACACAGUCACCUCCUAUCCAUGCAUCCACUUCUGAAAGGACUCAAUUAUUUGCCCACUUGCUCAUUGGAUCCUCCACACAAACCCUGCAGGGCAACCUGGGGCGGAGUUGGGUGGGGGGUGAAGGGCUUGGUAGCCUGUCUUGCAGGUGAGAGGAUUGAGGCUUUGGGAGGCUGCGAGACUCGCAAUCAGCCUCAUGAGCCAGUGUGUGGGACCACAAGUCAGGAGCUCCCAACCCUGGAGUUCCCAUUGUGGCACAGUGGUUAACGAAUCCGACUAGGAACCAUGAGGUUGCGGGUUCGAUCCCUGGCCUCACUCAGUGGGUUUAGGAUCCGGUGUUGCCGUGAUCCCGAGUUGCUGUGGCUGUGGUGUAGGCCGGCGGCUACAGCUCCGAUUAAACCCCUAGCCUGGGAACCUCCAUAUG
rnacentral:lncRNA from 1 species